UGGUUCUCCCCGAAAUGCCUUUAGGGGCAGCCUCGGGCGUUCUCCAACGGAGGUAGAGCACUGAUUGGGCUAGGGGGCCUACAAGCUUACCGACCUCAGUCAAACUCCGAAUGCCGUCGGACCACAGCCCGGGAGUGAGGGCGCGGGGGCUAAGCUCCGUGUCCGAGAGGGAAACAACCCAGAUCGCCAGCUAAGGUCCCUAAGUUCGUGCUAAGUGGGUAAGGAUGUGAGAUCGCGAAGACAACCAGGAGGUUGGCUUAGAAGCAGCCACCCUUGAAAGAGUGCGUAAUAGCUCACUGGUCAAGUGGUCUUGCGCCGACGAUGUAACGGGGCUCAAGCACGACACCGAAGCUGCGGGAUCCGCCGUAUCACCCGGCCCUCGAGGGCAGCCUCGUGGGUCCAGGUGGGUGGAUCGGUAGGGGAGCGUUCCCACGCGGGUGAAGCGGCGGGGUAACCCAGCCGUGGAUGCGUGGGAAGUGAGAAUGCCGGCAUGAGUAGCGAAAGACGGGGGAGGAGCCCGUCCGCCGAAUGCCCAAGGGUUCCUGGGGAAGGUUCAUCCGCCCAGGGUUAGUCGGGACCUAAGCCGAGGCCGAGAGGCGUAGGCGAUGGACGACAGGUUGAUAUUCCUGUACCACCUUGACCGCGCCCAGGCCGGAUCCGAGGCACUAAGGGAACCCCUUCGGGGGCUACCGACCAACUCGGUAGUAGGCCAGCGAUGGGGGGACGCAGGAAGGUAGCUCGACCCAGGCGUUGGUUGACCUGGGGCAAGUGUGUAGGGAGGCUUCCCAGGCAAAUCCGGGAGGUCAUCAUCCUGAGACACGAUGCCGAGCCGUUCAGGCGAAGCGAGUGAUCCUCUACUGCCAAGAAAAACCUCUAGCCAGUGAUCAAGGUGCCCGUACCCCAAACCAACGCAGGUGGGCACGUAGAGAAUACGAAGGCGAUCGAGAGAACCCUGGUCAAGGAACUCGGCAAAUCGCGUCCGUAACUUCGGGAGAAGGACGACCGCGGUAGGGUGAAGGACUUCGCGUCCGGAGCUCGAAGCGGUGACACAGACCAGGCCCAAGCGACUGUUUACUAAAAACACAGGUCCGUGCGAAGUCGUAAGACGAUGUAUACGGACUGACGCCUGCCCGGUGCCGGAACGUUAAGGGGAGAGGUCAGUGGCUUCGGCCGCGAAGCUUUGAACCUAAGCGCCGGUAAACGGCGGCGGUAACUAUAACCGUCCUAAGGUAGCGAAAUUCCUUGUCAGGUAAGUUCUGACCUGCACGAAUGGCGUAACGACUUGGGCACUGUCUCGACCAGGGACUCGGCGAAAUUGCAAUACGAGUAAAGAUGCUCGUUACCCGCGGAAGGACGGAAAGACCCCGGGACCUUUACUGCAGCUUGAUGUUGGGUUCUGGCAUGUGUUGCGUAGGAUAGGUGGGAGGCGUCGAAGCGGAGCUUUCGGGCUUCGUGGAGCCAACCUUGAAAUACCACCCUUCACUAGUUGGGACUCUAACCCAGGCCCGUGAUCCGGGUCGGGGACAGCGUCUGGUGGGCAGUUUAACUGGGGCGGUUGCCUCCUAAAAUGUAACGGAGGCGCCCAAAGGUUCCCUCAGCCUGGUUGGCAAUCAGGCGUCGAGUGCAAGGGCACAAGGGAGCUUGACUGCGAGAUCGACGGAUCGAGCAGGAGCGAAAGCUGGGCCUAGUGAUCCGACGGCUCCAUGUGGAAGGGCCGUCGCUCAACGGAUAAAAGGUACCCCGGGGAUAACAGGCUGAUCCUACCCAAGAGUCCAUAUCGACGGUAGGGUUUGGCACCUCGAUGUCGGCUCGUCUCAUCCUGGGGCUGGAGCAGGUCCCAAGGGUCGGGCUGUUCGCCCGUUAAAGAGGCACGCGAGCUGGGUUUAGAACGUCGUGAGACAGUUCGGUCCCUAUCCUCCGUGGGCGUAGGAGGCUUGACGGGAGCUGCCCCUAGUACGAGAGGACCGGGGCGGACGAACCUCUGGUGUGCCAGUUGUCGCGCCAGCGGCAUGGCUGGUUGGCUACGUUCGGAAGGGAUAAGCGCUGAAAGCAUCUAAGUGCGAAGCCCACCCGGAGAUGAGGCCUCCCACUGGGAGACCAGGUAAGGGCCCUGGAAGACCACCAGGUUGAUAGGCGGGACGUGGAAGCACGGCAACGUGUGGAGCUGACCCGUACUAAUAGCCCGAGGACUUGACUCUAU
rnacentral:rRNA from 1 species